AACGAACGCUGGCGGCAUGCCUAACACAUGCAAGUCGAACGAGAUCUUCGGGUCUAGUGGCGCACGGGUGCGUAACGCGUGGGAAUCUGCCCUUUGGUUCGGAAUAACAGUUGGAAACGACUGCUAAUACCGGAUGAUGACGAAAGUCCAAAGAUUUAUCGCCAGAGGAUGAGCCCGCGUAGGAUUAGCUAGUUGGUGUGGUAAAGGCGCACCAAGGCGACGAUCCUUAGCUGGUCUGAGAGGAUGACCAGCCACACUGGGACUGAGCCACGGCCCAGACUCCUACGGGAGGCAGCAGUGGGGAAUAUUGGACAAUGGGCGAAAGCCUGAUCCAGCAAUGCCGCGUGAGUGAUGAAGGCCUUAGGGUUGUAAAGCUCUUUUACCCGGGAUGAUAAUGACAGUACCGGGAGAAUAAGCUCCGGCUAACUCCGUGCCAGCAGCCGCCGUAA
rnacentral:rRNA from 1 species